CCCUGGCGGCGGGCGCACUGCUCGCACGCUCGCCCUGGGGCUGCAGAUCGGCUUGCGGGACGGGGUCCCAGAGAGGCCGGUCCACGCGGCCCGCACGCGCGAGUGUUAGCUCUGCACACGACGGAAGGCGGAGGCGCGGGUGGCUGCCGUUUCACCUUAGAGGGAGGGAGGGAAACGUGUCCUGAUUUCUGCACCUAAGGUGCUGGAAACCUUACCCUUGCACUUCCACCGUUUCUUUCCUUGUCCUGAAAAGGUCUCUUUUACCCGCUUCACUUCGCUAUCUACACAGUUUGCACUUGCACUGACUCAGAUCUUGUCCUGUCUGGUAAGCUGUGACCCUCAGCCAGCCUGGGUAGCUGCCCUUGAACCAGAGGUUGGGGUCUGGCAGUUUCUAUAGGCGUCCUCAGGCUCGGUCUGCAAGGGGCUUGCCUCUUUCUUCUGGGGUCUUCUCGCCCCCAUGCCUUCUCAGUUGUGGUGAUUAUACCAGAAGGAACGUGGGAGAAGUAUAAUGGAGAAUGCUUAGUCACUGGACAAUGAUUUCGAAAGUUCGGCUGGCUGAGGAAACAAGAGUUUUGUGUAAUGUCUGUGACUUACUCAAUGGUUCUAGGAGGCACGAGACUGAGUUUCUUUGGGCUCUGCUCGCCUACUCUUAAGGGGCUCUACCUUCUUAGGGUGAACUCGGCACCCACCUAGAACCUCCAGUGUGUGAAAGGGCCUACCUACCUCAUUGGGCCCCAACCUCCAGCCUCUUGUGAGAGUGACGACCAGCCCCAAAAUGGCUGCACACAAACAAGACCCUAAGGUACAGAGUCCUACUAUGCAAAUAGACGUUUAUUUUCCCCUGUUAGAACAACACAGGACCAGCUAUGUAAUUUGCAGGGAGGGCCCGUUGCAAAAUGAAAAUGUGGGGUCCCUUACUCAAAAUUAAUGAAGAAUUUCAAGAAGGCAACAGGAGAGCAUGAAGCCAAGCGUGGAGCCCUUCUGAGUGCCUGCCCUGUGGAAGCCAGACCUAGGCAGUAUUUCAGCCCCUUUGAUUCACACACCACCUUUGCAUCGUUGGAAACACCUUUGACCAGCAAUGGAAAAUAAAGGGAACAUACUGCAGUUUCAAUUGUUGUGGGACUCAGGUUUUCUCUCAACACCGCAUACACACUUGGAGACAUGGGAAGAAGGUCUGAUGGAGAAUGUGGCUCUGUUGAAUCACUUCGGCUUAAAGAGAUAACAAGAGGGCAUGAAGUCAGGUGGCUGCAAGUCUGUGAGUGACAACUGUAGGAUAUUCUACAUGAUGGUGCCCAAAGAUUUAGUGCUAUAGAUGAAGAUUUUUAUGGAUUGUAUACACUUUCAUUAAAGAAACAGAAUGGUGAACGUA
rnacentral:lncRNA from 1 species